GAUGAACGCUGACAGAAUGCUUAACACAUGCAAGUCAACUUGAAUUUGGGUUUUUAACUUAGGUUUGGGUGGCGGACGGGUGAGUAACGCGUAAAGAACUUGCCUCCCAGCUAGGGACAACAUUUGGAAACGAAUGCUAAUACCUAAUAUUAUGAUAAUAGGGCAUCCUAUAAUUAUGAAAGCUAUAAGCGCUGUGAGAGAGCUUUGCGUCCCAUUAGCUAGUUGGAGAGGUAACGGCUCGCCAAGGCGAUGAUGGGUAGCCGGCCUGAGAGGGUGAUCGGCCACAAGGGGACUGAGACACGGCCCUUACUCCUACGGGAGGCAGCAGUGGGGAAUAUUGGACAAUGGACCGAGAGUCUGAUCCAGCAAUUCUGUGUGCACGAUGAAGUUUUUCGGAAUGUAAAGUGCUUUCAGUUGGGAAGAAACAAAUGACGGUACCAACAGAAGAAGUGACGGCUAAAUACGUG
rnacentral:rRNA from 1 species